UACGUAGGGUGCAAGCGUUGUCCGGAAUUACUGGGCGUAAAGAGCUCGUAGGCGGUUUGUCGCGUCGUCUGUGAAAACCAGCAGCUCAACUGUUGGCUUGCAGGCGAUACGGGCAGACUUGAGUAUUUCAGGGGAGACUGGAAUUCCUGGUGUAGCGGUGAAAUGCGCAGAUAUCAGGAGGAACACCGGUGGCGAAGGCGGGUCUCUGGGAAAUAACUGACGCUGAGGAGCGAAAGCGUGGGUAGCGAACAGGAUUAGAAACCCCCGUAGUCC
rnacentral:rRNA from 1 species